GGAAUGGUAUUAGAGGCACUGCACCAUUGGGAGUAUUGUUUACCUAUAAAGGGAUGGAGCAGCUCAUGGUGCAGGACCAGCACCACCAGACCACCGACAGGAUCUUACCCCAGUGCAGAGAUGGAAACUUCCACACACAUCCCUUUGGCUCUUCAGUUUAGCUCUGACAGUCAGUCGCUGAAGGUGAAAAAGCUGGUGCUGGUUUUGCCUGUGUCAAGUCAUGGACAGAAUCAUUUAUCUCAAGGAUCAGUGUCAGUCCUUACCUCCCACUGCCAGACUUUUCCCCUCUUUGGACCAAUAUUAGCAUUAACCACCUGCACAAUUCUGACUUAAAUGUCACCACUGCUUCAAUUGCAUCAAUUGGCAAAAGCAGUGUUGGAGAAGGAAAAUCUGAGAAUGAUGUACUGGUCCAGUACUGGUGAGCUACCUGUUUUAUAAAGUCUUAUCGUUUCUUACAGCAAAACAAAUUGUGACUAUGAGCUUUACAUUCUUAUUCCCCCGCCAGCCUCAAGGCGUUCUGCUGCUCCAGUCACACUUCAAACUACUUAUUUCUGUGUCUGUGCUUCAGGUCUUCAUCCGCAUGCUCUUUCACAUGGAACUCCAAUCAAAUCCAAAUGAAUUUGUGUCUUUGAAGUGGGAUUUUUUGUCAGACUUUUGUCAGGAGGGAUUAUAUUGCUGGAGAGUUUCGCAGCGAUGGCAGAAGAAAGCCCCAGUGUCCAGGUUUUUUGUAAUUUUUCCCUGUAUUUUUGCAGCUUUCCUAGUGCCUCUUUGGCAAAUGCUUGACAAAAGUUUCACAGACACCUACCUAUACAUCGGGCUCUAAAUCCUGAAGAUCUCAUGCAGCAAUAGACUAGUUCAUAGCCCUUUCCAGUUUCCCUGAAGAAGAGCAGAAUGUGGUUUCUCCACAGCUCAAACAAAGUGAAUCUUCCAUUUCUCUUUUUUUAUUUAAUUGGCUUGGGUGUCAGAUCCUCAUCUCCCUCACCUGGUUUAAAGCACACCUUGGGGUUUUUUCUCUCCUUUGUUUUUUCAGUGGGAUGUUUAUUUCUUUUUAAACAAGCUGAUUGCUGCCUUAUGCUGUAUUUUUGAGGAUGCUUCUUGGAAUUUGUGGUGUUAACGAUUGUUUCAGACUAAAUUUCUAUACUCUGGUAAUUUCAAAGUCCAUGGGUACAAUUUUUAGCUAAAUAGGUCAUUUAAUAAAAUGUACCAUAAUGGUUUUCAGCUUAAAAAUACUUCAGCAUGUAGAUAUUUGUUAUGUAAACAAACCAGCUUUGCAAUGAACAAUCGGGUUUUCCUUACGAAGGAAAAUAAACCAAAUAAAUGCCUGGAAA
rnacentral:lncRNA from 1 species